rnacentral:lncRNA from 1 species
CAUGCCCAUGGCAUGCAAAAGUUCCCAAGCCAUGGAUGGAACCUGCACCACAGCAGUGUCAACACCAGAUCCUUAACCUCUAAGCCACCAGGGAACUCCAAGACCAAAGGAUUUUUUUUUUUUUUUUUUUAACAGACAGAAGACGGAAAGGGCUUUGAGACGGUUUCAGAUGCCGCAUCCCUAGUAACAUUUCAGAAACAACCGCAGGUCAAGUUUUGGUGUAACAUCACAGAAAAUUAGCUGAAAAGGCUUUGAAACUAUCCUCCCCGUAUUUCAACCAAAACAACCUCUGACAACAGACUAAAUGCAGAAAAGAUGAUAACCCAGGGGUCUUUCUGAAGCCAGAAACUAAAGAGAUUUACCAGUGUCAUCCCACUUGUCUCAUCAACUGUUUUUAUUUUAGAAAACAGUUCUUUUUCAUAAAACAAUGGAUUCAACAUUGCUAUUUUUCAAAUGAAUUUAAAACUAAAAUACAUAAUUUUUUUUCUCACAUAGCAUUUCUACUAAGGUGACUAUCAAGAGAUAUAAACCACACAGACACUAGUUAUUUGGGAUCCUCAGUAACUUUUAAGAAACCAAAAAGUUGGGGAACCCCAGUCCUCAUGAAUACUAGUAGAGUUUGUUACCGCUGAGCCAUGAUGGGAACUCCCGGGUUCCCAAACUUUUUGACUUCUGACUAGUAUCUCUGAGGACGCAGGUUUGAUCCCUGGUCUCACUCAGUAGGUUAAGGAUCCAGUGUUGCCAUGAGCUGUGGUAUAGGUUGCAGAUGUGACUCGGAUCCCGAGUUGCUGUGGCUCCGGCUGUGGCUGUAAGCAUUAGCUGUAGUUCUGAUUCAACUCCUAGCCUGGGAACCUCCACGUGCUGCAUGUGCAGCCUUAAAAAGCCAAAAAAAAAAAAGUUUGGGGAGUUCCCGUCGUGGCGCAGUGGUUAACGAAUCUGACUAGGAACCAUGAGGUUGCAGGUUUGGUCCCUGGCCUUGCUCAGUGGGUUAAGGAUCUGGCGUUGCCAUGAGCUGUGGUGUAGGUUGCAGACACGGCUCGGAUCCUGCGUUGCUGUGGCUCUGGCGUAGGCUGGUGGCUACGGCUCUGAUUGGACCCCUAGCCUGGGAAUCUCCAUAUGCCACGGGAGCGGCCCAAGAAAUAGCAAAAAGGACAAAAAAAAAGCUGGGAA